GGACCAAGGAGUCUAGCAUGUGCGCGAGUCAUUGGGUAUAAUAUUUUUUUAAAUAACCCAAAGGCGUAAUGAAAGUAAAUGUUAAGCCUUGUGUUUWACUAAGGGAAGAUGGGUUUUUUAUAAUAAACAACUCGCAUUCCCGGGGCAUUUCUAUAUACUCAUUGCGAGUAGAAAUGCACACCAAGAGCGUACACGCUGGGACCC
rnacentral:rRNA from 1 species